rnacentral:rRNA from 1 species
GCACGUACGCCAGUAUGUGUGGAGCCGUCCUUGAAAUACCACCCUUGUAGUGUUGAUGUUCUAACGUCGACCCCUUAUCGGGGUUGCGGACAGUGCCUGGUGGGUAGUUUGACUGGGGCGGUCUCCUCCCAAAGAGUAACGGAGGAGCACGAAGGUGGGCUAAUCACGGUUGGACAUCGUGAGGUUAGUGCAAUGGCAUAAGCCCGCUUGACUGCGAGAAUGACAAUUCGAGCAGGUGCGAAAGCAGGUCAUAGUGAUCCGGUGGUUCUGAAUGGAAGGGCCAUCGCUCAACGGAUAAAAGGUACUCCGGGGAUAACAGGCUGAUACCGCCCAAGAGUUCAUAUCGACGGCGGUGUUUGGCACCUCGAUGUCGGCUCAUCACAUCCUGGGGCUGAAGUCGGUCCCAAGGGUAUGGCUGUUCGCCAUUUAAAGUGGUACGCGAGCUGGGUUUAGAACGUCGUGAGACAGUUCGGUCCCUAUCUGCCGUGGGCGUUGGAAGAUUGAAGGGGGCUGCUCCUAGUACGAGAGGACCGGAGUGGACGAACCUCUGGUGUUCGGGUUGUGUCGCCAGACGCAUUGCCCGGUAGCUAAGUUCGGAAUCGAUAACCGCUGAAAGCAUCUAAGCGGGAAGCGAGCCCUGAGAUGAGUCUUCCCUGAUACUUUAAGUAUCCUAAAGGGUUGUCGGAGACUACGACGUUGAUAGGUCAGGUGUGUAAGUGCUGUGAGGCAUUGAGCUAACUGAUACUAAUUGCCCGUGAGGCUUAACCAUACAACACC